UAAGGGCUCCAAACAAGGAACUCCAGACAUUUAGAACAGCUCAUAAAAUCCAAGAUGUACAAGUCUGGGUCAGUGCUACUUCAUGGCUGUCUGCAACGGGCAUGACUGGAUUGCAUAGUGACCAAGAAAGAGAAAAGGAAA